UACGGGGGGGGCAAGCGUUGUUCGGAAUUACUGGGCGUAAAGGGCUCGUAGGCGGCCAACUAAGUCGAACGUGAAAUCCCUCGGCUCAACCGGGGAACUGCGUUUGAUACUGGAUGGCUUGAGUUCGGGAGAGGGAUGCGGAAUUCCAGGUGUAGCGGUGAAAUGCGUAGAUAUCUGGAGGAACACCGGUGGCGAAGGCGGCAUCCUGGACCGACACUGACGCUGAGGAGCGAAAGCCAGGGGAGCAAACGG
rnacentral:rRNA from 1 species